CCUCCCCCACCCAGCACGCAUAUGAGGAGGAUCUUCCUUUCUGCUAAGUAAGGGGACAAAUUCCCCCUCCCUGCCCCCACUGCCACACUAAAAGACAGUCAGCCAAAAAGGACGGCCGUGGCUCUUCACCCUCGGAACUUGUCCACGAUCUCUGCCCCCGAGAACUCAUCCACUGUGCCUUUGGGCACGUUCUUCUCCAGCCAGACCAAGUACCGGAUCACAGCCACAGCGUCCCGCACCUGGAGUUGGGGAAGCAGGGAAACAGAGGAGCCGGGAAGGCUUCCUUGAUUGACACUGCCUUGCUUGGCAAUGAACUCCCUGUCUUCGGAUCCCACCAGCACUCUGGGAUGGAUCAGAGUCUGGCCUGAGUCACUCGACAGGCUGUCCUGACAGUGCCGUCUCCUCAAGCGCCGACAGAAGGACGGCAGUCGGGACCUUUUGAUGCUUCUGCAUCUGGCUUCGGACGCCAGAUACUUUCUCCUGCCAAGUGCUCCCUAGAAGCAAAGGAGCCCCAAAAAAGUAGAAACCAGGGAUAUGAGUGAGAAAUGAAGGAAGGCUGUGGCGCCCCUCUCCACCCUCUCCCUUUCCCCACCGGCUGGAAGAUGCUCCUGUCCAAAUGGGAAAUUGAGGCCAAAAUAGCACAAUAAAGGAAAGGAAGCGCUCCAGGAGCAGAUGGGCUCCCACUCACCGUCCUGAGGAAUGUGCUGACUAUUCAGGAACAGGCCUUUGGCAGUCACUUAACACAAUCACGAAGCAAAGGGAAAUGAUCAAGUCUGUCACCAGGGUCAGUGCCAAUUUGUUUAAGAACGUGGUGAGGCUGAAAAGGAGGAUGUGGGGAAUGGGAGGCCCCGAACAUUCCUGGAGCCAGUUUGCAAAACCUCCCGGGCAGCAAUCCCAGUUAUGCCGGGAAAGGCCAGAGGCUUCUGGGGUUCUUGGAGGAAGCCUUUCCAGUUCCUCUCUCCUGGGGCCCAGGGCUUGUAGCCCCAGAUCAACCUCCCAGCCAGCCUGGACUCUCCUCCUGACCACAUUCAUCUCAAGGACAAGAGCACCUGCUGCAGCCAUCUCCACAAUAAAGGGGAGAAUGCAACAGCUCCUCUGGGUGCCAACUGAGGACACUGCCGAUUCUGGGGCUGCAGUCUCAAGCUGCUGAGCCUACGUGAACAAAGUCAAGGCAACUGCGGCAUGGUGUGUGAGUCAGCUGCUUGGCUCUUCUGUGUGUGUGCAUGUGUGUGUGUGUGUGUGUGUGUGUGUGUGUGGUGAGGGAGGUGGAUUCUGGAUGAGUGAGAGACUAAAACAAAAUUGGAAACACGACCGCUAAAAGACUAACAUUUUCAGGCCAAGUCAGUUCAUCUUCCCUGCAAAAGAGCAUUUGAAACCCUAGCCAGUCCCGCUCCUGUCCGACUUACUAGACCCUGUGGACUGGCUUAUAGCAGGGAUUUUACAACUGAUAGAAGCUGGCAGUGUAGAGAAAAUAGCAAAAGGGCUCUGGAGCCAGAGAGAUGAACAUUGAAAUCUGGGCAAGGGACUCACCUCCUUGAACCUUGGUAAAAGAAUUCGGUAACUUAGGUUGAACUAUAUGAAAAUGCUAUUUUGUGGGUCAAAAAAGAUUGAAUAUUGACAAUUUCUUAUGGUUCAACCCAGUAGCGCCUUCCUCCCAGAGUUACUGUGCAGAUUAAAUGAGCUAAUAUACAAGAGUGUUUAUACCAGCAUGUGACACAUGAUAAAUGCCAAAUAAAGGAUAAUCAUGAUGAUGGUGAUGAUAAUGGGUAUUUAACACCUAAUUUUGGCCACAGAAUGAGCCCUGACCCUGGCCAUCUCAUAAAUACAAGUCCUGGAUAGGCUGAAAUACCUCAGGGACAUAAUCUUCGGGGUUAAAAUAUUUCCCUGACCAAAUAACACCCCCCAACCCAGGCUGUCCCAGCUCUUAAAAUUUUUUGCUUAUAGGUCACUCUGUGGUGAAACCACUCUUCAAUGAAGGCUCCCACUAAAGAGUCCCCAAAGGGGAAGAGAUUCAUUCACUGAUUCAUUCGUUCAUUGAACAGCUUGUAUCAAGAGCCUAUUAUGUUGCCAGGCACUGUGCUAGGUGCUGGAUUGAAGAAGGUAUGCUCCCUGCCCUGGAGGAAUUUGCAAUUAGAUAUGAGGGAAAGCCCCCAGACAGGUACCAACAGUCCACUUUUGACAAGUGUCAUAGCCAUAAAAAGUAUGUCCCAAGCUUUGUGGGGUCACUGAAGAGGGAUCAUCCUCUCUCUGAGGCAGGAGAAUACAUUCUGGAGGCAGGGAACCUAAGGCCGUUUCACGCUGAGUUCCUAGAACUAAAUUGAAAGGAGAACCCUAACUUUCCAUGCCUAAGUAACAAAAGGACCAGAGGCUACUCCCUUUGCAAGCUCCCAGCUUUUCUGCGUGGCCGAUGGGAAAUUGAAAGUACCUAUGAUUGGUUGUUAGACAUUUGCAUAGGAGUGUAACUUUGAAACUUCACUUCAGCCUCUGUAGGCUGUCCACAACCAAUCAGACUGAUUGCGGGUCAAGUCUUCGUUUGCAUAGAAGUGCAACAUUGUAACUUCACUUGAGCCUCUGAUUGGUUGCAGACAGCAACCAAUCAGAUCUUUGCAUAAAAGUGUGACCUUUGUAACUUCACUUCAGCCUCUGAUUGGUUGCAAUAAGACUGGUUGCAGACCACCACUUCAUUUACAUGGGGUGAACACCAAGUGGCCAAUGGGAAACCUCUAGUGGGUAUUUGGACCCGAGAAGUUUCUGUAUCUGGGCCCUUGAGUGGCUGCUCGGGCCCGUUCCCACGCUUUGGAGUGUACUGUCGUUUUCAAUAAAUCUCUGCUUUUGUUGUUUCAUUCUUUCCUGCUUUGUUUGUGUGUUUUGUCCAAUUCUUUGUUCAAAACACGGAGAACAUGGACACCCUCCACCGAUAACACCUCCAUCCAUCUUAACGCUGUUAGGUGGUCGGAGAUGGCUAUACAGAAAAAGUGACAUUUCAGAUGGAUUUUGAACGAUGUGUAGGAAUUCCUUGCAGGGAGAAGGUGUGAGUUCAAGCAGGGGAAACCUAAUAUGUAGAGGCACUGGUUUGCAAAGGGGUGUGAGCACUUUUAGGGACUGGUUCUAAGUUCAGCGUGUCUGGAGCACCCGUUAAGAAAAGGAGUAUCAGGAACUGAGGAUGAGGAGGCACGUCAGGGCUGGGCUGGAAAGUGCACCCUGGAUGUAAUUCUCUAGGCAACUGAGAACCAACAGAUGAAAAUUUCUCAGUGUCCAGACAGAAGACUUUCUGAUUUUGUCUGGAAUGGGGCCUGGGAAUCUGAGAUACACGGUCUUCUUUUUCCUUCCUUCCUUCCUUCCUUCCUUCCUUCCUUUCUUUCUUUCUUUUUCUUUUCUUUCUUUCUUUCUCUGUUUCUCUCUUUCUCUUUCUUCUUUCUCUUUCUUUCUCUGUUUCUCUCUUUCUCUCUUUC
rnacentral:lncRNA from 1 species